rnacentral:rRNA from 1 species
AGAGUUUGAUUAUGGCUCAGGAUGAACGCUGGCGGCGUGCUUAACACAUGCAAGUCGAACGGAGUACCCUUGAAGGAGUUUUCGGACAACUGAAAGGACUACUUAGUGGCGGACGGGUGAGUAACGCGUGAGUAACCUGCCUUGGAGUGGGGAAUAACAGUUGGAAACAGCUGCUAAUACCGCAUAAUAUGUCUGUGUCGCAUGGCACUGGACAUCAAAGAUUUAUCGCUCUGAGAUGGACUCGCGUCUGAUUAGCUGGUUGGCGGGGUAACGGCCCACCAAGGCGACGAUCAGUAGCCGGACUGAGAGGUUGGCCGGCCACAUUGGGACUGAGACACGGCCCAGACUCCUACGGGAGGCAGCAGUGGGGAAUAUUGGGCAAUGGGCGCAAGCCUGACCCAGCAACGCCGCGUGAAGGAAGAAGGCUUUCGGGUUGUAAACUUCUUUUCUCAGGGACGAAGAAAGUGACAGUACCUGAGGAAUAAGCCACGGCUAACUACGUGCCAGCAGCCGCGGUAAUACAUAAGUGGCAAGCGUUAUC